UACGUAGGCAGCAAGCGUUGUUCGGAUUCAUUGGGCGUAAAGGGUGCGUAGGUGGCGCCGUAAGUCGGGUGUGAAAUUUCGGAGCUUAACUCCGAAACUGCAUUCGAUACUGCGGUGCUUGAGGACUGGAGAGGAGACUGGAAUUCCUGGUGUAGCGGUGAAAUGCGCAGAUAUCAGGAGGAACACCGAUGGCGAAGGCAGGUCUCUGGGCAUUAACUGACGCUGAGGAGCGAAAGCAUGGGGAGCGAACAGG
rnacentral:rRNA from 1 species